GACGAACGCUGGCGGCGUGCUUAACACAUGCAAGUCUAACGGAAAGGCCCUGCUGUUGUGGGGUGCUCGAGUGACGAACGGAUGAGUAACACGUGAGUAACCUGCCCUUGACUUUGGGUUAACUUCAGGAAACUUGGGCUAAUACCAGAUAGGAACUCCUGCUGCAUGGUGGGAGUUGGAAGGUUUCGGCGGUUGGUGAUGGACUCGCGGCUUAUCAGCUGUUUGGUGGGGUAGUGGCUUACCAAGGCUUUGACGGGUAGCCGGCCUGAGAGGGUGACCGGCCACAUUGGGACGGAGAUACGGCCCAGACUCCUACGGGAGGCAGCAGUGGGGAAUAUUGCACAAUGGGCGGAAGCCUGAUGCAGCAACGCCGCGUGCGGGAUGACGGCCUUCGGGUUGUAAACCGCUUUCGCCUGUGACGAAGCGUGAGUGACGGUAAUGGGUAAAGAAGCACCGGCUAACUACGUG
rnacentral:rRNA from 1 species